rnacentral:rRNA from 1 species
GAUGAACGCUAGCGGCGUGCCUAAUGCAUGCAAGUCGAGCGGGAUCCCCUGGAUUCGUCUGGGGGUGAGAGCGGCGAACGGGUGAGUAACACGUAGGCGACCUGCCCCGAAGACGGGGAUAACCAUUGGAAACGAUGGCUAAUACCCGAUGUGCUCGGUAAUUCGUUUUGCCGAGUGAAGCUCCGGCGCUUCGGGAUGGACCUGCGGCCUAUCAGCUAGUUGGUAGGGUAACGGCCUACCAAGGCUAAGACGGGUAGGGGGCGUGAGAGCGUGAUCCCCCACAAUGGCACUGAGACACGGGCCAUACUCCUACGGGAGGCAGCAGUCAGGGAUAUUGCACAAUGGGCGAAAGCUUGAUGCAGCGACGCCGCGUGGGCGAUGAAGGCCUUCGGGUUGUAAAGCCCUUUUCUGGGGGAAGAGACAAGGACGGUACCCCAGGAAUAAGCGUCGGCUAACUACGUG